GAUGAACGCUGGCGGCGUGCCUAAUACAUGCAAGUCGAGCGAACAGAUGAGGAGCUUGCUCCUCUGACGUUAGCGGCGGACGGGUGAGUAACACGUGGAUAACCUACCUAUAAGACUGGGAUAACUUCGGGAAACCGGAGCUAAUACCGGAUAAUAUAUUGAACCGCAUGGUUCAAUAGUGAAAGACGGUUUUGCUGUCACUUAUAGAUGGAUCCGCGCCGCAUUAGCUAGUUGGUAAGGUAACGGCUUAUCAAGGCAACGAUGCGUAGCCGACCUGAGAGGGGGAUCGGCCGCACUGGAACUGAGACACGGUCCAGGCUCCUACGGGAGGCAGCAGUAGGGAAUCUGCCGCAAUGGGCGAAAGCCUGACGGAGCAACGCCGCGUGAGUGAUGAAGGUCUUCGGAUCGUAAAACUCUGUUAUUAGGGAAGAACAAAUGUGUAAGUAACUAUGCACGUCUUGACGGUACCUAAUCAGAAAGCCACGGCUAACUACGUG
rnacentral:rRNA from 1 species